rnacentral:sRNA from 1 species
CCACCUCAGCAGGGGCGUCUUCGUCCGGC